AAAACUUUCAACAACGGAUCUCUUGGUUCUGGCAUCGAUGAAGAACGCAGCGAAAUGCGAUAAGUAAUGUGAAUUGCAGAAUUCAGUGAAUCAUCGAAUCUUUGAACGCACAUUGCGCCCCUUGGUAUUCCGAGGGGCAUGCCUGUUCGAGCGUCAUCG
rnacentral:rRNA from 1 species